ensembl:lncRNA
AUAUCCGCUUCGUCAUGCCUAGAGCUGAUCCGUGCUGGUCCCUGAGGAAAUACAUCAACUUCGUGCUGUGGAUCGCCAGAACGGCUUUCACUGUGGACGAAGCGGAGUCCAGCCCAGGUUUGUCACAUGUGUCCUUUGUCGAAUCCGCCGGCGACGCCGUUCUCUAACACGCCGACCAUUCCUUACUCAAGCCUGCAGUGACGCAUUUUGUGGAGGACUGUUUCUUGAACAAGUAGCCUACAAUGGGUCUGUGCUCAAAGGCUGUUCUAUAAAGUGAGGCAGUUCCAACUUUGCAUGGACAGUCUGGUGCUUCUGAAUCACAACCUGAUAGGCCUCACUGAACAGCGGCAGGUUUCUUUGCAGUCUCCCGGUUAUUUUGAAGUGGUUUCCUUGAACAUGCCUCUCAUCUGUCAUUGGUCAGACCAACAGAUAGCAACGCCCUCAAACUCACACCAUCUGUUGCUGUUGUCGGACAUCCUUAUUUGGCCUUGACUCGUGCAUCCAUGAGGAUAUGCAAAAGAACAGCAGACUUGGCAAAAUUCCAUCUUUCCCCUCCAAUCAAGACAGCAUUACUAAUAAACAUUUGACUAAAACAUUUUUAAAACUAAUCAGUGUUUAAUUAAACAUGUCUAUGUUUGUGUGCAUGUUUAUAUAUGUGUAUAAACCUGGUUGCUGUUGUAUUGCAAUAAAGAUUAGGUGCUGCUGAACGCAGCUUUUGUCUGGACACA